rnacentral:lncRNA from 1 species
AUGGGGUCGGGGGCCGUGACAGUAAAGGUGAUUGCUAUUAACUGGUAGCACAUCUGAUAGAAUUUAGACUUGAACAUAAGAAAAGAUGCCUUAGUAUAAACUAAGCCACUUGUUUAGAGCAAGUAGGUGUUAUAAUAAUAAUACCUAAGCUUAAACGGAAAGUUAGAAACUUAAUAUUAUCUGAUAACAUUCUGAAUGAUAUUUAGACUUGAACUUAAGAAUUUUGCCUUAAAAUAAACUUUAAGGUAAAUUACUUAUAUAAGUAUAAUGUAAUGGAUACUGGUAUGUCAUAAGAAUGACGGUUAGCAGGCAAUAGCACUUAAUUGACAUUUAUUCUUGCUUAUUGAUAUUAUUUGGUCUAGAAUAAGAUAUGUUUUGGGAAUACAAAUUUCCUUGAUUCUGGAUAAAAGUCCUAAUAAAAGAGACACUUUUAAAAUCUUGAAAAGAUACUAUUUAUGGGAAAUAGAAAAUUUUCUCCGGCAAAACUGGGUAUAGAGUAGCAGACUCUCCAGCUUGUCCGGAUAUACUGAGGUUACCUCUCCGGCGCGAACCGGGUAAGAUGGGGUAUAUAAAAUGUCAAACAAGUGACAAGAUUUCCCUAAAUAAGUAUCAUGGCCUGAUAUCAGACUUGUUUUUGGAAAUAAGAAUCUGUUAAAUACAUUAACCUUAUAAAGGGUAUGUAUAUUAUAACAUGUGAAAUAUAUAAUAUAGAUAUGUAUAUCUAUAAGAAAUUUCAAAAGCCAUAAACAAGUGAUAAUUAAGAAUAAAGCACAAGUAUAUGUGUCAAUAAUAAAUCUAGAUUCCUUUAUCAAGAAUCUCUUACCUACAUUGAUAUCAAACAUUAUUUUGUUUAAUCAUCUACCUCGUAACUCGAACAACAAUAAUAAAUGAAAACCCAUUAAGUUGGGACACCAUCAAAAAUAUAAGAAUUACCAAUACGUUACCAUAAAUUAUUAACGCCAUAAAUUAUGAACGUAAGUAAGAAGCAUGUAAAGUUUUGCUAAUGC